GGCAUGAGAGAAAUAGAGGAAAUGGGUAUGAAAGUUAAUGAGAGAGAACGGGCGUGUGAGGGUGGUGAUGAAAGAGAAAAGGUGGCGUGAUGGAGUGGAUAGUAUGAAAUGGGUAUGGCAAUGGAGUUAGUGAGAUGAAUGGUUGUGAAUGUGAGCUUGAUGAUGGAAAUGCAUCCAUGAGACGAAAGGGGUAUGAUGAGUACAAUGUGGGCAUGCUAAAGUAUGGGGAUGAGGGUGGUCGGGUAUAUGGGAGGAAUAAUUGAAGGGUGGCGAGUAUACAGGGAAUGAAAGGCGACUGAAAUGUGGAUAGCCUAGUGGCAAGUUGAAGGAUGGGAUGAGGGGUUGGACACGUAUUCAUAUACUGCGACUACAUGCGCAUGAAGUUCAUGGUUUCUGUCGUGGCAGAAAACCAGAGGUGAAGCUUUAGUAGUGCUAGGCAGCAAAGCGUACCAUUUAUAUGACUUUUCCUUCUCAAACCCUGUGCUUCCAAGAAUGCAAGGAGGUGAACAUGUUCACAUCUGAGCCUCUCAAAUGAGCUAGCUGAUACAAAGUACAUGGC
rnacentral:lncRNA from 1 species